rnacentral:rRNA from 1 species
AGAACGAACGCUGGCGGCAUGCCUAAUACAUGCAAGUCGAACGAACUCUUCGGAGUUAGUGGCGCACGGGUGCGUAACGCGUGGGAAUCUGCCCCUUGGUUCGGAAUAACAGUUGGAAACGACUGCUAAUACCGGAUGAUGACGAAAGUCCAAAGAUUUAUCGCCAAGGGAUGAGCCCGCGUAGGAUUAGCUAGUUGGUGAGGUAAAGGCUCACCAAGGCAACGAUCCUUAGCUGGUCUGAGAGGAUGAUCAGCCACACUGGGACUGAGACACGGCCCAGACUCCUACGGGAGCAGCAGUAGGGAAUAUGGACAAUGGGCGAAAGCCUGAUCCAGCAAUGCCGCGUGAGCGAUGAAGGCCUUAGGUUGUAAAGCUCUUUACCGAGAUGAUAAUGAACAGUAGUCGGAAGAAAGUAAACGCCCCGGACUAAACCGUCCCGUACGCCCAGCGAGCCCGAC